ACGUAGGAUGCAAGCGUUGUCCGGAUUUAUUGGGCGUAAAGCGUUCGUAGGCGGCAUAUCAAGUCUGGUGUUAAAGCCCGGGGCUCAACCCCGGUUCGGCACUGGAUACUGAUAAGCUAGAGUGUAGUAGAGGCAAGGGGAAUUCCCAGUGUAGCGGUGAAAUGCGUAGAUAUUGGGAGGAACACCGGUGGCGUAAGCGCCUUGCUGGGCUAUUACUGACGCUGAGGAACGAAAGCCGGGGGAGCAAAUGG
rnacentral:rRNA from 1 species